UCGGGAAUUUUGGGCAAUGGGCGAAAGCCUGACCCAGCAACGCCGCGUGAGGGAUGAAGUAUUUCGGUAUGUAAACCUCGAAAGAAUGGGAAGAAUAAAUGACGGUACCAUUUAUAAGCUCCGGCUAACUACGUGCCAGCAGCCGCGGUAAUACGUAGGGAGCAAGCGCUGUUCGGAUUUACUGGGCGUAAAGGGCGCGUAGGCGGCGCGGUAAGUCACUUGUGAAAUCUCUGAGCUUAACUCAGAACGGCCAAGUGAUACUGCUGUGCUAGAGUGCGGAAGAGGCAACCGGAAUUCUUGGUGUAGCUGUGAAAUGCGUAGAUAUCAAGAUGAACACCUGAGGCGAAGGCGGGUUGCUGGGCCGACACUGACGCUGAUGCGCGAAAGCCAGGGGAGCAAACG
rnacentral:rRNA from 1 species